rnacentral:rRNA from 1 species
CCUACGGGAGGGCAGCAGUGGGGAAGUAAUUGGACAAUGGGCGGAAAGCCUGAUCCAGCAAUUCCGCGUGUGUGAAGAAGGCCUUCGGGUUGUAAAGCACUUUAGUGGGGGAAGAAACAGCUUGGCCACACCAAGCCUUGACGGUACCCCAAGAAUAAGCACCGGCUAACUCUGUGCCAGCAGCCGCGGUAAUACAGAGGGUGCAAGCGUUAAUCGGAUUUACUGGGCGUAAAGGGUGCGUAGGUGGCUAUUUAAGUCGGAUGUGAAAGCCCGGGGCUCAACCUCGGAAUUGCAUUCGAUACUGAGUGGCUAGAGUUCGGUAGAGGGCGGCGGAAUUUCCGGUGUAGCGGUGAAAUGCGUAGAUAUCGGAAGGAACAUCAAUGGCGAAGGCAGCCGCCUGGGCCUGGACUGACACUGAGGCACGAAAGCGUGGGUAGCAAACAGGAUUAGAUACCCCGGUAGUCCACGCCGUAAACGAUGAGAACUUGACGUUGGUCGUUUUACGAUCGGUGUCGCAGCUAACGCGAUAAGUUCUCCGCCUGGGGAGUACGGCCGCAAGGUUGAAACUUAAAGGAAUUGAGGCUGNGAGNGCGAGCGACACGAGGAG